rnacentral:piRNA from 1 species
UGCUUUCUUUCCGUCAGUACUUGGCGAAGAG